rnacentral:tRNA from 1 species
GCCCCAGUGGCGGAAUCGGUAGACGCACGAGACUCAAAAUCUCGCGUUGGCAACAACGUGCCCGUUCGAGUCGGGCCUGGGGCACCA